CUGAAAGCUGCAGGCGAGACUCUACCUAGGAAAACGUCAGGCGACUUCGAGUAGGGUACAGCGCAGGACGAAGUGUGUGUCCAACGUGGACUAAAAUGUGGGAAGAGAUUCCUUUAUUAAAAAGCAGUCUACCUUCCUGGAAACAAUCCAUCACACUCCCUACGGAAGAGGAUCACACGCCCUGCGACUUCUCAACCUCUACGUGCUGAGAGACAGUCCAGGUUAAGGAACCUCUCAGGACUGCAGUCUGAAUGAGCAGAACCGAUGGCAAACGUUUCCAGGAAGCAACUGGUGUAAGUGGUGAAAGCCGAGGCGGAGGAAGGCGUUAGGGUGGAGAAGGCUGAUAAGGACUCAGGGGGGGUCAGAGCCUCAGAGUGCUUCCCCUGCUCGCAUCCUCCCUGCACCGUGGAGCAGCGUCUGUCUGAUGUUGGCAGCAGCACAAGGACAAAUCAAGACACUCAGAAGCAAAUGCUUUUGUUUUGCAGACAUAGGACCAGAGAUGCGGGGAAGUGUUACCCUGGGGCCUGAACAGCAUCAGGCGUGACAGCAGAUGUUUAGUGCCAUGGGUUGCACAGUGCCGCUGUUGAGUACCAGAUACUGAGGGGAUCUGCCUGUGACUUUUAAUAAAUAGUGUGUGUGUGCUGUCUAUUCAGAACCACUAAAGGGAGGAGUCCAGGGCAAGGGUUCCUCUUGCCCAAAUCUAAAGGCUCCAUUAGACAACCAACCAAGCACUCAAGCAGGAAGAUGAAGACUGCUGGCACCACAUGGCAGAUCAGAGACACGACAGGGAGUGGCAGAGAGGCGGUGACCUGGGGAGCCCACGCCUGUCUGAAGAGAACUGUCUAUAUUCUGCCCUUACCCACAUACUGACUUGUAGGAAAGUCGAAGUCACGUUGCUGGACUGUCUGAUUUCUCAGGAGAAUGCCACAUUUCGGGUUUUUAUGUGAAAAAAAUUGAUAUCGACAAAUAAUCCAAAUUAAUAAACUUAAAAAGUACAUUUGAGGGGAUCACAUCUUUAGGCUAGAUUUGUUCCCAAAGCCACCACGAACACUUUUCUGGGCUACUGCAUUUUACUACUUUGUGCUUACUUUUGAAGCAUUUACGAUCGCUAAUUCCUCAUUUUGGAUAAAUACUAAAGCAAUGACAGGGUGAGAAUCAUGGAAGAAGAAGAGGCAUAUGAUUAGGUUAGAAAAGAAAGUGCAGGUUAGGUUUACACCGAUGUGUAUGCAAGGGUUACACAUAUUCUGUCACUUUGUCUUUGCAGGAUGUGGACUCAGCGACAUCCUGUCUGUAAGCAGAGAAGCCUCCACACGUGGACAUGUGAGGCUGUCUUUGGCUCUGCUGCUCAGUUCAGAUAAUUUUCGAGAGAUCUCCAUUGUACUUCAACUUAUUUUUCAGUAAUAGGAGAGUGAGUGGUGAAAAAUGUGAGAUUAGAUUGUGAAAGAAUGAAGUUAGAGAUCCCAGGGGAGUAUCUCUAGAGAUGUGAAGAUUCGGGACAUGGGGUUACCUCCUGUGCUUCUCAAAGGGCAAGCAGAAGAUAUCUGGCACGGGAAUGGGGAGGGAGCAAGAACAGGGGAGGAUAGCAAGUAUGUUUCAGGCAUUUCGGAGCCCAAGCAAGAUGCCCAGUGGAGUGGUUAAGAGGUCAGACCGUCCCAAGUUCAAGACCCAGGACUAAAUUUACAAGCUGCAAAAAGUUGCUUUUCCCUCUGAGCUUGUUUCAUCAUUUGUUAAGAAGGUGAUAAUGAUGAUUUACCUCAAAGGGCUGCUGUGAGCAGUAAAUGAGCUAAUCAAAGCCAAGCUCUAGUGCACAUUCCUCAGGAAGUACUCAAUAAAUGCCGGUGAUUAUUAGUAGGACAAUGAUUGGGAUUAGUGGGGUGAAUUCGGGAAUCAUCUGCAGAAAGGUGGACAGUUGAAAUCUGAAGAGAGCACCUUGGAAGGGGGGCAUAUAUAUUGGGGAGCACAUCUAUUUGAGGGAGUAAGGAAAAAAAAUGGAAGCCUGAAAGGGGUCAGAGAAGGAACAGUCAGGUAGCAGAAAUGCCAAGACAGGGUUUAGGGAAGGCCCCUGUAUGAAAAUAAAAUAGAGACUUUAUUUUCAGAAUAGUGCUGAGCAUGAAAAUGAUUUAGAAUGGUGCCUUAUAAACUUUAGAGUACCAAAGAAUCACCUGGGAGAGUGUAAAUGUUUAAAAUGUAGAUUCCCAGAAAGCCUGACUCAGUAGGUCUGGGCUCAGGCCCAGGAAUCUAUAUGGAUUCCAACUGCAGAUAGACAACAAACCACACUUGGAAGAACACUGUGUUAAGACUGAGUGUGCAGCCAGGGAGAGGAGACAGAGUGGCUACCAUCCUUUCAAGGUAGUUGGUUAGGGCAUACAUGUGUCUUAGCCUCCACUACCCAUGCAUUAAAGAAAGUCUUUCCAGAGAAAAGUCUUUGAGAGAACACAGGUUGCUUUCAAUAGGUUGCUUGGUGAGUAAAGGGAGGGGUGGUGGUUGGUGGUGUUUAUUUCUCCUGCAUAUAUAUAAUGGCCAAGGGGUCUUAACCAUCUGUGGCCCUGGGUUUGGAAGGGUGAAUUAAAUUGGUUGAUUUUCAAGUAUCAAACCAACCUUGCAUUCCUGGAAUAAUCCAACUUCGGUCAUGAUGGAUGGUGGGAAAGAGACACAUUGCUCAGACCUCAAUCUCAGGCUCUGGGCUCCCUUUCCUCUCUCUAGCCUUCUAGCAGACACGACCUAUCCAAACAACACAACAGCUCCCUGAGACUUGGAAAUAAACACCAGGUCUUCUAGAACAGUGAACUUCAAAAUACUUUUUACUUAUACCCUCUAAGAUAUUUUUUAAAAAGUAUAUAUACUCCCUUACAUGUUUUAAAGUUGAUAUCUCAAAUGUUUCACAUAUUAACUGCUUAAAAGGAUUCUGGGGCAUUGUAAUUAUUUGUUAUAUCAUUUAAAAAAUAUAUUCAAUAGGCCAGCCCGGUGGCAUAGCGGUUAAGUGUGCACGUUCCACUACGGCAGCCCGGGGUUCACCAGUUUGGAUCCUGGGGUCAGACACGGCACCACUUGGCACACCCUGCUGUGGCAGGCGUCCCACAUAUAAAGUAGAGGAAGAUGGGCAUGGAUGUUAGCUCAGGGCCAGUCUUCCUCAGCAAAAAGAGGAGGAUUGGCAGCAGUUAGCUCAGGGCUAAUCUUCCUCAAAAAAAAAAAAAAAAUUUCAAAGUAAUCCAAAUAUCAUGCAUCCUUGAUCUCUACCAUCAUCUAUUUAAAUAAUACAUGAACAAGCUGUUCUUUAAAAGUUGAAAUUUUACAUCAUUAUUUAAGGAGUUUUCCUCUUUAAAUUUGUACUUCCAUUCCACUUCCCCAUUAAAUUUUCUAUUAAUGUAAUAAUUUUUUGGCUUAGAAGUCUUGUAUUGAUCACCCUAUUUUUUUUUUUUUUUAAAGAUUUUUUAUUUUUUCCUUUUUCUCCCCAAAGACCCCCGGUACAUAGUUGUAUAUUCUUUGUUGUGGGUUCUUCUAGUUGUGGUAUGUGGGACGCUGCCUCAGCGUGGUUUGAUGAGCAGUGCCAUGUCCGCGCCCAGGAUUCGAACCAAUGAAACACUGGGCCGCCUGCAGCGGAGCGCGCGAACUUAACCACUCGGCCACGGGGCCAGCCCCUUGAUCACCCUAUUAAACCUCUUGGCAGAAAAAUUUAUAUAUAUUUAAUAAAAAACCUUUUUAACUUCCUUUGAUCAGAAUUGAGUUACUACUAUAAUGAUUAUUUUUAUGUAAUUGAUGAAAACAAGGUGAAUGUAUUACAAAAUCAGAACUAACAGAAGGUUGAUAAUUGUUGAAGCUGGGUCAUGGGUGCAGAAAGGAUCAUGACGAUUCUCACUCCACUCUAUGUUUGAAAUUUUCCAUUAAAAAAAAGUUUAGAAACCUCUUGAAGAAAUAAAUGUGCUAUAAAUUCUGGUUAAAAAUUCCUAAACAAAAAAACAUAAAAUUUUUAUUGGUCAGGCUGGCCUGGUGGCGCAGCGGUUAAGUGCGCAUGUUCUGCUUCUCGGCGGCCCAGGGUUCGCCGGUUCAGAUCCUGGGUGCGGACAUGGCACCUGCUUGGCAAAAGCCAUGCUGUGAAAAAAAAAGAAAAAAAAAAAAAAGCCAUGCUGUGGUAGGCGUCCCACAUGUAAAGUAGAGGAAGAUGGGCAUGGAUGUUAGCUCAGGGCCAGUCUUCCUCAGCAAAAAGAGGAGGAUUGGCAGUAGUUAGCUCAGGGCUAAUCUUCCUCAAAAAAAAAAAAUUUUUUUUAUUGGCAAUAACAUUUUAACAAGAUGGAUAUGACUUGAACGGUCCCUUUCUUUGGCGCCAAUCAAGUAGCAACCACUAUUACCAGGUUCUUGUGUAUCUUUCUAGUGACACUGGAUGAAUAUAUAAAUGAAUAUUCCUAUGUACUUUUUCU
ensembl:lncRNA